CAUGAAGUCGGAAUUGCUAGUAAUCGCGGAUCAGCAUGCCGCGGUGAAUACGUUCCCGGGCCUUGUACACACCGCCCGUCACACCAUGGGAGUCGGUAACACCCGAAGCCGAUAGUCUAACGAAAGAGGACGUCGUCGAAGGUGGGAUUGAUGACUGGGGUGAAGUCGUAACAAGGUAAC
rnacentral:rRNA from 1 species